ensembl:snRNA U6 U6 spliceosomal RNA
GUGCCCUUCGGCAGCACAGACACUAAAAUUGGAACGACGCAGAGAAAAUUAGCAUGGCCCCUGGGCAAGAAAGAUACACAAAUUCGUGAAGCGUCCCGCAUUUUU